ACGUGUGUACUGGUGGAGAGGUAUCAGGUGCUGCGGGAGAGAGAGGUGGAGCCACAUGACAAAUGAGUGAGCUGGGUGAGGAUGGCAGAGCUGGAGAGGGAAGAGUGUCUUGAGCAGCCAUAGCAAGAGGACUCAGUGGGUCAGCUGAUGAUGGCGAGACGACAGGAGGCAGAGAGGUGGGGGAAAAGGAGCCAAGGAG
rnacentral:lncRNA from 1 species